rnacentral:rRNA from 1 species
UACGUAGGGACCAAGCGUUGUCCGGAAUCAUUGGGCGUAAAGCGCGCGUAGGCGGCCCGGUAAGUCCGUUGUAAAAGUCGAAGGCUCAACCUUCGAAAGCCGAUGGAUACUGCCGGGCUAGAGUACGGAAGAGGCGAGUAGAAUUCCUGGUGUAGCGGUGGAAUGCGCAGAUAUCAGGAGGAACACCAAUGGCGAAGGCAGCUCGCUGGGACGGUACUGACGCUGAGGUGCGAAAGCGUGGGGAGCGAACAGG